rnacentral:rRNA from 1 species
UACGUAGGGUGCGAGCGUUGCCCGGAUUUAUUGGGCGUAAAGGGCGCGUAGGCGGCUCUGCACGUCCGUUGUGAAAUCGCCCGGCUCAACUGGGCGGGGUCAGCGGAUACGGCAGAGCUCGAGCAAGCUAGGGGGCAAUGGAAUUCCCGGUGUAGUGGUGGAAUGCGUAGAUAUCGGGAGGAACACCAGUGGCGAAGGCGACUUCCUGGCCUGUUCUUGACGCUGAGGCGCGAAAGCUAGGGGAGCAAACGGG